CGUCUUUGCCCCCAGGUCUCCCCGUCUUUGCCCCCAGGUCUCUCCCCGUCUUUGCCCCCAGGUCUCUCCCCGUCUUUGUCCCCAGGUCUCCCCGUCUUUGCCCCCAGGUCUCCCCGUCUUUGCCCCCAGGUCUCCCCGUCUUUGCCCCCAGGUGUCUCCCCGUCUUUGUCCCCAGGUGUCUCCCCGUCUUUGUCCCCAGGUCUCCCCGUCUUUGCCCCCAGGUCUCCCCGUCUUUGCCCCCAGGUCUCCCCGUCUUUGCCCCCAGGUGUCUCCCCGUCUUUGCCCCCAGGUGUCUCCCCGUCUUUGCCCCCAGGUCUCCCCGUCUUUGCCCCCAGGU